rnacentral:rRNA from 1 species
UAUAUUUUGGGUUUUUAUUGUGUUUAUUAGAAAAUUUGUUUUUAGUAGUUUGAGCGAAGUUUGUUGGUUUCCUAGAGAGGAUUUAGUACUGAGAAGGAAAGUUAUAUUAUUUAUUUUGAAUAUUAGGUUUGUUAGUACCUUUUGUAUUAGGGUUGAUUUAUGUGGUUUUGCUUUUGUUAUUUCUCGAUGAGUAUCGGGCUAUUUUUCCUUGGUUUAUUCUCGUUGUAUAGAGUUGGAUAGGGGAUUAUAGGUAUGAAAUAUUAUUCAAGUUGCUUUUUAUCUAGUUCUUUAAGAAAUUUAAUAGUCGGUAGUGUUAUUAUGACGGUAAACAGGGAUUAGCUUGUUUAUUUUUUAUAUUGUAUUGUGGUUGAAGUUUGUUUGUUAAGUUGAUAGUGCUUUUUUUAAUGGAGUUAUUAUUGAGCAGGUUAUUUUUAUUAUUUUUUGGUUUUGUUUUUGUAUUAGGGUUGGGUUGAAAAUUUUUAGUGGUUUGUAAUAAUGAUUAUAUUAGUAAUGAUUUUAUUAGUUUAUUUUAUUUUGUUCUGAUUGAUAUCUUAGGUAGGCUUAAUUUUAAAUUAGAAUUGAUGAAUUAGGCAAUAUGAACCUCUGACUGUUUAGCAAAGACAUUGUUUUUUGUUGUGGUAAAAAAUAAGUUCUGUCCACUGCUAUUAGGUGAAGGGCUGCAGUAUUUUGACUGUAUGAAGGUAGCAUAAUCAUUAGCUUCUUAAUUAGAAGCUGGUAUGAAGGUGAAACAGGGGUUUGCUGUAUUUUUUCUAUAUGUUGAAUUUUAUUUUCAUGUGAAAAAUCAUGAUUGGUUUAAUGGGACAAGAAGACCCUAAUAAGUUUUAUUCUUUUUCUUAAUGCGUGUAUAGGUUUGGAUUUAUGUAAUUUAUUUGGGGGAGUUUGGCUGGGGCGGCAGUUUAUUUGACAUAGAUUAAUUUUUAACUUUGUGUGGCGGUAUUUGGACCUAGUUUGUUUAUAUCAGUGUAAAAUUACUGUAGGGAUAACAGCGUGAUUUUUUUUGAGAGUUCUAAUUGACAAUAAAGUUUGCGACCUCGAUGUUGGAUUAAGAAGAGCGUUGGC